rnacentral:piRNA from 1 species
UAAUGUCUACUAUAGGAAAAAUCAAUGUC